GGGGUGACAAUGUAAAUGAAUGUUUCCUCGUCGUCCUCAAGGGGCGACAAUGAGCCAUAACGGAACCUAUUUAAACUGGAAGCUACAGUUUACUCGGUCCUUUCGCAUGAUGCAUCGACUGGGUGCUGUGCUUUCACCAGAAGUCGACAGGAGAGUCCAGUCAGCUCGUAUAAUGCAAAAUAACCUUCCCAGCAGUUCGAUCUUCUUUUACGUUAUCGACAUGGUCUGUUAUCAUGUGCCAAUUGGUGGACACCUGCAUGAGCCAGAUGGAGGAUGAUGGCUGUGUUUGCGCUUCAGGCAGAAUGUCCCAGUGAUGAGUGUGCUGUUGCAAUGCCACAAUCUGCCAUGGCAUUAUAAUUACUUGAGAAAAUGGGUCUGAGAGAAACUCAACAGGACAGCUACCAUCUUCUUAAGGUUUAAAACUUUGGGAGGUGUUGCAGCAGCUGUAACGGACACUGUUGAGCAGUCUUGGUCCGAAAUUGUUACUUUGCAGGUAGAAACAAGACACUGCAAACACCUGAUGAGAGAUGUGGAACUUUUUUCUUCUCCCAGAUGACAAACUAGCACUUGUUUGUCAUUUAAUGUGCCAUCUAUCCAUCCAUGGGGAUCAGUGGUUAGCGCUGUUGGCUCACAGAAAGUGGGUACUGGGAGGGACACAUUUUGUCUAUGUAUGAAAGUGCUUUGAAAUGACAAAGGCUUUUUAUUUUUUUUCAUUCACACUGCAUGUAAAAAUGACAAUUGUCUCAAAGAAAUAAAAACCCACCUUACAAAAGCAUCUUUGUUUAAACUGUUUUCAGCUCCUCUGCCCUCAUAUUAAACCAACUUUAGCCAUAAACAAAUACUGUAGACAUUUGUAAUGUCUUAAGCAGUGGAAUACUGGUACUAUUGCCUGGGGCACAUUAAUUGUACAAAUGUGCACCAUUUGUGCCAGUUGUGUGCAUGGUUAUUUGCUGAAGUAAGCAGUGAGCGCAAGGAAGUUUACAGAUUAGAACAAUGGGUCAACAGGAUUAAGCCAAAUAAAACCAGGUCAGGUGUUGGCUAUUUGCUGUGGUUCAACAACUUAAAUAGCUGUAGGUUUUGUGCUGCUGUUCUUGCAUCAAACCUUAAGGCUUGAUGUCAUUUUAGUACAAAGUAAGAUUAAACAUUUAUUUAAACAUUUAUUGCAUAAGUCAAAUGUAAAACGGUUUACAGCACCUGACAAAGUACAGCAAUGGCACAAAUCUUAAAUGUUAAUGCAAGUUCAGGCUGAAAUUGUUUUUCCAAGUUGUGGUGCAGAAACCUUAUUUUUCAAGAACGCAUAAUUUCAAAAAGUCUAGAAAACUUCAAAAAAACAUUAAAAAAUAAUGCUAAGAACGAGUUUACAAAUGCAUAAAAUGCUAUGUCCUCUGUGACAGGAAAUACCAGGAACAAAACUUCAGUUUUCCAAUGCCCCCUUCUCGUCUCCUACAAAAUAACAAGAUACAACUUCUCCCUGUAAAACGCAACCGUUGCUUGACCUCAUCCAGUGUGUUUCAAGACCUGAUGUAAGGAAAUCAGGAGAGCGCUCCAAGGCCUGGUUCCCCCCUUAUCAAAUUAAAAAGGUUGUGUAUCGGCCUUGGGAAGGUCAGAAACUAUUCGUCAAUCUUUUCAUCCCCUUGGUAAUGUCGGUAUUCUGGUUUGAGCUCCCAGGUAUUCUUGUGUGUUCCCUUCACGUUGUAGAUGCCGAUAUCACGCAAGAUUUCCUUCAAGUAAAUCUGGGAAAAGAAAAAGAUUGAAUUGCUUCUUCAGUGAGUAAACAGCACUAAAAUGAGUCAGUAUAAACAGUGUUAUAACAACAAAAGCCCUCAUGUUGUCUUACCACAGGCUGUUUGGUGAUAUCCACCAGAUCUUUGAUGUUGUAGUACUGGUGCUUCUCAAAAGCAGAGAACAACAUGUCCAACACCUGCUGUUUGUCAGCUCUUGCUCUCUUGCCCUCCUCCUUCUUUUUCCGCUCAUACUCAAGCUGCAGCAAAAA